GAUGAAGAACGCAGCGAAAUGCGAUACUUGGUGUGAAUUGCAGAAUCCCGUGAACCAUCGAGUCUUUGAACGCAAGUUGCGCCCGAAGCCAUUAGGCCGAGGGCACGCCUGCCUGGGCGUCACACGUCGUUGCCCCCCCAUCUACUCCUUCGGGAUUGCGGGGGGCGGAUGAUGGCCUCCCGUGCGCCUCGUCGCGCGGUUGGCAUAAAUGCCAAGUCCUCGGCGACGCACGCCACGACAAUCGGUGGUUGCGAAACCUCGGUUGCCCGUCGUGUGCGGUCGUCGCGCAUCGAGGGCUCGAAAAAAUUGCCGGGCUCCGGCUCGGCUUUCAACGCGAACCCAGGUCAGGCGGGGUUACCCGCUGAAUUUAAGCAUAUCAAUAAGCGGAGGA
rnacentral:misc_RNA from 1 species